rnacentral:rRNA from 1 species
CGCUUUUUGUAUAUAUAAAAAGUCUUACCUGCCCAGUGUAAAUAAUAAAAUAAACGGCCGCAGUACCCUGACUGUGCUAAGGUAGCAUAAUGAUUUGCCUCUUAAUUAGGGGAUGGGAUGAAUGGUUGGACGAAAGCAUAGCUGUUUCUAAUAUAUUAUACAUAAUUUAUCUUUUAGAUUAAAAUUUCUAAAUUUUAUUGAGGGACGAGAAGACCCUAUUGAAUUUUAAAAAAAUGUUAUGAUAAGAUCUUAUUAUUAUAAAUCUUUUUAUCUACAACGAUUUUGGUUGGGGCAACCUAGGAACAAGAAAAGCUUCCUAUUUAAUAAAAUAAUAGCUAUUUUAGAUCCAGCAAUAAUGCUGAUAAAAGGAAUUAAUUACCAUAGGGAUAACAGCGUAAUUUUUCUUGAGAGAUCUAAUCGAAAGAGAAGCUUGCGACCUCGAUGUUGGAUUAGAAUAUUUAAAGAGUUGUAGGAGCUCUUAAAAUUGGUCUGUUCGACCAUUAAAAUUCU